rnacentral:rRNA from 1 species
UACGUAGGGUGGCAAGCGUUGUCCGGAAUUAUUGGGCGUAAAGAGCUUGUAGGCGGUUUGUCGCGUCUGCCUGUGAAAUUUCGGGGCUCAACCCCGAACUUGCAGUGGGUACGGGCAGACUAGAGUGUGGUAGGGGAGACUGGAAUUCCUGGUGUAGCGGUGAAAUGCGCAGAUAUCAGGAGGAACACCGAUGGCGAAGGCAGGUCUCUGGGCCAUAACUGACGCUGAGAAGCGAAAGCAUGGGGAGCGAACAGG